rfam:Nematostella vectensis strain CH2 x CH6 NEMVEscaffold_3136_Cont44243, whole genome shotgun sequence.
GACUCCGUGGCGCAAUGGUAGCGCUUCUCACUCCAGAUCAGAAGGUUGCGUUUUCAAAUCACGUAGUGUUCA